AUUGAACGCUGGCGGCAGGCCUAACACAUGCAAGUCGAGCGAGCGGCGGACGGGUGAGUAAUGUAUGGGGACUGCCCGAUAGAGGGGGAUAAAUACUGGAAAAGGUGGAUAAAACCGCAUAACAUCGGAUAACCCAUAUGGGAUUAGCUAGUAGGUGGGGUAAAGGCUCACCUCUGCGACGAUCUCUAGCUGGUCUGAGAGGAUGAUCAGCCACACUGGGACUGAGACACGGCCCAGACGCCUACGGAGGCAGCAGUGGGGAAUAUUGCACAAUGGGCGAAAGCCUGAUGCAGCCAUGCCGCGUGUAUGAAGAAGGCCUUAGGGUUGUAAAGUACUUUCAGCGGGGAGGCGUUACCCGCAGAAGAAGCACCGGCUAACUCCGUGCCAGCAGCCGCGGUAAUUC
rnacentral:rRNA from 1 species